ACACGGUCGUGGCACCUAACGUUAGCUCAGUAAAUUAUUUGUUAGACAUUUGGUCGUAUCCCUGAUAAGAUUGAUAGUUAUCAUUAAUUGAAUUGCCAUGGUCAUUUGACAGCGACAAUGUUUCGUGGUUUUCUCAAUCCGGAAGAACACCGGAGCCCUGCUCUGUUUGUCCACCUACCCCGCCAUGUACUGUUACCUCCACCCGGUCCCUGCUAUGGAGGGCCCUUCUGCCCGCCACCCCAUGUUCCACGGUGAAAACCUCCACAGGCCCACGAGAGAGCAUUAUAUGAAUACCCCACACUGCAGCAGCGUCUCCAUUGACCGCAGUACAGUGAUCAGUCUGGACAGUCAACAGAUUCUCCCACCAGACACACAGCAGUUUAAGAUGCCGCAGUGGUCCACCAAUCCUUUGGAACCACGUCAAAGAGAGGAGAGAUGGGGCUGAUGAGCGCCACUGAACCGUAUGUGCUGCACCCCGAAGUUAGCAACAGAAGAAGAGAUACCAUUGCCGCGAAAGUCAACCGGAGAAGAAACGGUCACUACCUCAAGAAGUCUGAUAAGAAGCUGAGCUGAGACUAGGUUUCAAAGAUGUCCCGUAAGAGACCUUUGCCAGGACAAAAGCGAAACCUUUUAUUUUAUUUAAAGAACCAGCCAAGUGAGAAAAGACAGACAAACACACUGACAGAACAGCCAGAACGAUUGAUAGAAACGACAGGACAACAGACAGAGGAGCAACACAAAGGACAGAGAGAGCAGGAGACAGGACAGACUGACAAACAAGCAGAGGAGCAACAGACAGGACAGAUUGACGCACAUGCAGAGGAGCAACAGACAGGACAGAUUGACGCACAUGCAGAGGAGCAACAGACAGGACAAAUAGAACAACCAACAGGGCAGAUGGAAGAAGGCACAGAGGGACAGACAGAAGAGACCCCCCCCAAUCCAACAGCAGGGCCAGAAGAGUCGUGCUCUGGCUGGAGCAGCAACAUAUAAAUCCAUUUUCAAAAAUGAGUGGACCUCUUCGUGGCCAUUUAUUACCAGAGGGAGCCUCAACACGCACUACUGGUGUGCAGUCUGCCGUAUUGAAAACUCAUGUUGCCACCAGGGUGUGACAGAUGUAGUGCGCCAUAUAAAAUGCAAAGGCCACCAAGAUAAGCAACGAGCUCUCCAGUCCACAGCCACAAUAUCCCAAUAUGCAAUGGCCGUUCCAUCUGUUGGGGGUAUGUCUGCACAAGAGGUUAAGUAUGAUAUGUGUAAUAAUUCUGUCAAGGUUCAGUCAAGAGUUUUGUGUUCUAGUUGAUCACGGUAAAGUCAUGGUUGAUAGUUUUGACUAAUUUGUGGUUUGUAUUUCAGUGUAGUACAGUCCAGUUUUCUUAAUUUGAGAUCUUAGUUGCUGAAUGUGUUUUUUACCUGUGCCCUAUUAUCGCAGGCGUCUAUUUUAAAUAAACUAUGGUCUUUUGGGAGGAUUAAUAAUUUUUAAUUUCUUACAGACAAGAAGGGCUGAGGUCAAAAUGACAGCUGGGUUGGUAGUUCACAACGUCCCCCUAGCCUUUGCGGACCACCUGGGGCCUCUCCUAAAAGAAUGUUUCGGAGAUUCGAAGACAGCGCAGGAGUACAGGUGUGCCAGGACUAAGUCAUCCUGCAUUACCAAUGAAGCACUCGCGCCAUAUUUCACACAGGAGCUUGUGAAGGAGAUGAAAAAAAGCCCUGUAUACCCUUGUUACGGAUGGGUCGAAUGACACUGGAGUGGAAAAGAUGAACCUACUUACUGUCCGGGUCUUCAUGGGCAGCAAAGUUGUCCACCAGUUUUUAAAUAUGUGCACAACAAGUGGGACGAGCUGUGGGACAGCAAGUGAGAUCUUCACCAAAAUGACCUCCACCAUAGAGGAGCAUGGCAUCCCUUGGGAGAACUGCAUUGGUCUCUGUUUACAAUGCAGCUGUGAACAUUGGACCACGUAAUUCCAUUGCCUCUAGGGUGCUCCAGAAGCAUCCCAACACCUAUAUUCAUGGUUGUCCUUGUCAUGUGGCACAUAACACCGCCAAAGCUGCAGGAGUGGGAUUUUUUAAAGGCUUUUUAAAGUGUCCGGUUUUGAUUUGGAGGAUAUGGUAGUGGACAUCGGUUACUGGUUCAAGGGUAGCACAAAUCGGAAAGGAUACCUGACAGAGUUUUGUGAGCUCCAUGAAGCGGAGUACAUGGAGGUCCUCCUGCAUAUCUCGGUCCGUUGGCUAAGCCUUGAACGUUGUGUGACCAGGAUCCUGAGGCUGUAUGAACCUCUGGCCAGCUACUACAAAUCUGCUAAUGAAAAUCAGGCCAGGUUCAAGAGACUUGUGCAGACAUUCACUGACCCCAUGACAGAAGUGUACCUGCUGUUCUUCCAAGCCACCGUACCAACUUUCACUUCUUUCAACUUGCUGCUUCAGAGAGAGCAGUCAUC